GCAAGAGGAUCUCUGUGAAUUUGUGGCUAACCUGGUCUACGCAGCAAGCUCCAGGCCAGCCAAGGCUACAGGGAGACCCUGUCUUAAAAGAACAAAAAUGAAAACAAACAAUUAAAAAAAACAAGCCCUGUUUGCAGAAAGGAGACUGGAGGGAGGGGCAUACAGUAGGGGCAGGCGAUGGCACAGGGUGGGGAGGGGACCCUCUGCAUCCCCCUCUGUCCCCUUACCUCCCCACAGAGUUCUCAAAGUUCCAGACACCUAGGGUAAGGAUGGAGGAAGAGCCAGGCCAGCUUGUGCCCUGCCCAGAGCCUUAGCCCAGUGGCAUGGUGGGGCUGGGGAACUGGUAGCAGCCGUCAGCCUGUUUUUGGUCCAAGAGUUAGUGCCAAACCCCUGAGGUGAGGCUCUAACCCAACCAAGCUUCUCCGGCCACACCUGCCAGAGGGGACCCAGGUCCGUAGCUCCUCAGGACCCCAUGAAGACCAUGGUGUGUGAUCUCCAUGAUGUGAGUCUUCAUCCUUUGAGGCUGGGACAGAGUCACUCCCUGGAGACCUGAGGCGACCGCCCCAGCCGGCCCUGAGGUUCAAAAGCAAAUUGUCCGUGACCUGACCCAAGGAACUCGAAGGUCUGUUGUCAGCCAGCCCCAGCUUUGUGCUGGUUUAUGAGAGGCGGCUGAGUUACCCACAGGGAGAAGGGAGCAGUCGGCCGGCUCUGCCCAUUCUACUUGAUGCCAGGGGCCCUACUACAGGUCUGGCCCCACCCAACUGUUAACCAUCCAGGAUGUCUGCUUCCUGGAGCCCUGGGGUGCCAUGAGGGACCACUAGGGGUGGGGGGUGACUGGGAUAACCGGUAAAGACUGGAGAAUUGUUUGAAAAUGAUUCUUGCUACCUCAGGGGAGGGGCUCGAGGGCACUUGGCUGAGGGGACACAGUGCCACACUGUGAGUUUCUGCACAGGUCUCCAGGGCCGUCACCUGAAGAGACAGACAGCAGGACGGGCUACAGCAACUGGAAAGUGGUGUUUCAUGGGGACAGGAUGUCAGUCUGGAAAGAUGAUGGAAUGUUCUGGAGGUGGAUGGUGGAGAGGGCUGCCUGAUACUUCAUACCGCCAAGCUAGGCACCUAGACGUGGACAAGUUGAAAAGAGGCACAGGUGACCUGCCACACAGGCAACUGCACCAUCCCACCACGAAUGGCACUCAUGAAAGUUGCGUCUCUGUGGCAAGAAGCAGUGCUGAGGCCUCUGCUCACUGCCUGUGGAACAGGGUAGGUGCUGUGUGAAUCUUGUAUGUUGGAGCUUCGGGAGCCAGGUAAGUUCCCAGCUCCUUCCUCCAGGGAGAAUGCUUCCAUUCAGAGGCCCAGGGUGGGCUUGGGAAGUAAUAGCAGUACUCCCAAGACCUCUGCCAUUCCACUGCAGGCAGCCAUUGGGGUUGGGGGGGGGGCGACUCUUGACUAUCUGGCUGGAUCUGUGGAACCAUGGUGGUUUUGUCCCUCCCGUUCCUCCCUCUUACAGCUGCUCUGAGGAUAUUCAGAGUCCCCGCUCAUCUCUGAGGAGCCAAACACCACAUCUUCCUUACCCACCUAGAUAGUCCUGGCUCCCUGACGGGGACAGGCCAGUGCAAGGUCUGCACUCACAGCUGGAGAGCCACUUACAGCCUGUGGUUCUGAAAGUGCCAGGGUGGAUGGUGGCACAGCUCAGAGAGGUGGGCUGGGGCCCAACUCAAGUCCCAGCUGCAACCUGAGAGACCUGGGCCCACCCUGGCUCUAGCUCCCUGACUAUGUCACCCCCUGUCCUCAGCAUCCUUCACUGUAAGACACUCGGGGAUCAGGACUGCAGUGAGGGCUUACUGUCCUUCGCGGCCAAGGCGCUACGGCUGAGGCCCCAACACCGCCUGUCCAGACCUUUCCCAGCUCUCCCGAGCUGAUCUCUAGGGUCUUACCUAUGCACUGGGACACAGCCAUCUCCACUCCAGGUGUCAUCUGGAAUGAGCCAUAUCACCAUCAUGACUGCCUGUCUCAAUGCAGUCACUUGGU